rnacentral:misc_RNA from 1 species
GAUGAAGAACGUAGCGAAAUGCGAUAAGUAAUGUGAAUUGCAGAAUUCAGUGAAUCAUCGAAUCUUUGAACGCACCUUGCGCCCUUUGGCCAUUCCGAAGGGCAUGCCUGUUUGAGUAUCAUGAACACCUCAACUCUUUAUGGUUUUCCAUGAUGAGCUUGGACUCUGGGGGUUUUGCUGGCUCACAGUCGGCUCCUCUAAAAUGAAUCAGCUUACCAGUGUUUGGUGGGUAUCAUGGGUGUGAUAACUAUCAACGCUUGUGGUUUUUCCACCAGGUAACCUUCAGCAGUGGAGGUUCGCUGGAGCUCAUAGAUGUCUCUCCUCAGUGAGGACAGCCCUUUGAAUGUUUGAUCUCAAAUCAGGUAGGACUACCCGCUGAACUUAAGCAUAUCAAUAAGCGGAGGA